rnacentral:rRNA from 1 species
CACCGGCGGCUCGAGUGGUAACCGUUAUUAUUGGGUCUAAAGGGUCUGUAGCCGGCCGGAUAAGUCUCUUGAGAAAUCUGGCAGCUUAACUGUCAGGCUUUCAGGAGAUACUGUCUGGCUCGAGGCCGGGAGAGGUGAGAGGUACUUCAGGGGUAGGGGUGAAAUCUUGUAAUCCUUGAAGGACCACCAGUGGCGAAGGCGUCUCACCAGAACGGACCUGACGGCAAGGGACGAAAGCUAGGGGCACGAACCGGAUUAGAUACCCGGGUAGUCCUAGCCGUAAACGAUACUCGCUAGGUGUCGGCCACGGUGCGACCGUUGUCGGUGCCGUAGGGAAGCCGUGAAGCGAGCCACCUGGGAAGUACGGCCGCAAGGCUGAAACUUAAAGGAAUUGGCGGGGGAGCACCACAACGGGUGGAGCUUGCGGUUUAAUUGGAUUCAACGCCGGAAAUCUUACCGGGACCGACAGCAAUAUGAAGGCCAGGCUGAAGACUUUGCCGGAUUAGCU